CCAAAACCUAGCCAACGACCAAGAGUGAAUCAAGGUAGCAGGGGGUUGUGACAACACAAGAUGAAGAACAGUAUUGGGCUUCAGCAGAUUGAGGAUCCGUCAAGGAUGAGCAAGAGGCUCCUGGGGUUCGGAUGACGUCGCAGACUUGCAGAGCAACACAAAUCCAAGACUAAAGCCUGGGGGGAUUGAAGGAAACCUUUUUCUUUAGCAAUACUUGGUGAAAUGAACAAUUAUGAACAGCUUACAUUUUAAACAUGAAGGAUGAUGGGUGAGGAUCGUUACAAAAUGAGGUCGGUCAGUAAGGUAAAUUUUCCACCUAAAUAAUAAAUUGCAGUAUUGUUACAUAUUGUUAGUGCCGUUUCAUCCAAACCCCACCUUGAUCUGUCCCCUGGUAUAUUGCUGUGGAGCACACACUCGCAGCAGCCAUUGUUAAUGCAUCACAAAAACAUGGAGUAACACAAAUUGUAGAAUGCCUAAAGCUUUCUCCGAGCUUUCCCAAAUUCAGUAUUUUUUUUACUUUUGAGUCUGCCAGGAUAAGCCUAAAAAAAAAAAACGGACAUUCGCAAAACUGCUUACAAAGGCAACACAAAGAUACAGGUCGUAGCGUUUUCCCCUCGCCGAUCCGUUCAUUUAUUUCGCUCAAAGGGUUUCACAGGGAAUACACAAAGUGCACCAAGAAGAAUCGAGUUCAAAGUCAAACUUUUUGGGAACACCAACCUCUCAAUGAACUACUUCAAAACUUCUCUACAGAGUGUUAACAAGCUGCAGUGAUCUACUUUUCAAUCUGAUUAUCUUUGGGUUCUGGCAGAACUGGGUUGAGAGCACAUCUCCACUUAGGGACCUAACCUGGAUCCAAUUAAAAGUCCUACGAGACGAUUUCAGAGACCUCUAGUGCAACGCCAGGCGUUCCCCAGCCUUAUGCUCUACCACUAUUAAUAACAUCUGUCAAUGACCCGUCCCCAACCUAAAUUUACAACCACGAUGGCACCAUUAAGAAGUUUGAAAUAUCUUGGUUGCACUCAAACUGGAAUGGUAGAAAAUGGUUUCUAAAAUGUUGGUUAUAUGUAUUUAUUUAUAUAAAAUGGGGUUUUAUUUUAACGUUAUCAAUGUGAAGUUUGUCAACAUUUGUUUAUUCUUUGAAUUUAUUUUGUUUAGUCAACACUUAUUUUCUUUUUCGCUGCUCUUGGCGGUGGUUACCGUAGCAACCUGUAACUGCCACUUUUUCAGGUGUCUGUAACUGUGCGGAUGAAUGGUGACAUAAAAGGCGGAGCGAUAAUGGAAGCAGUGGGUCAGCGGCCGCAUCGCCGCGAUGCGGGACGAGCGCAGAUGAAACAGCUGUGGCUGUAACUCAGCGGGCCGAGCCUGACGCCAGCACAGCCGGCGGGACGAGUCUGAUUCCCAAGGAGACCGUGAAUGCUAAAAGUGUCGACACAUGUCAAAGGCUCAUCAUUUAUUUAUGACUUAACCGGACAGAUGUAAAAGUCAGUCGUUUCUGCAGUCAGGAAAUAGGUUAGAGAAACUUUUCAAUGGGUAAAAAAAUGUUUAGUUCAAUGCUAUUGUUCCUGUGGUAACGAUGUCGUAUUCGCCAUAUGGAUUUUGGGCUGCGAGCCGCCGCUCUGAAGGACAAAUCCCUCUUUAGAUGCUCAAACUGUUCUCAAUAUGCCAGCUGCGCACUGUGAUUAAGUGCUGUAUUUUUUGGAGCACCUAUUUUUCCCACAAUCUGUCUCCUUAUCAGGUAGCAAUUCCUUUUAGCUCUGAUCCCAGAAUGCAUUUCAUUAACUUCUUAAUUAAUUGAAUGAAACCGUUUUGUUGUAUUUUAUAGGAAAAGCAUCUACUAUGAAAAAAAAAAAAAGAUAGCAUUUUAUGAAGCUAUACAUCAACAUGUGUAAUUAAUGCCACUGUGGACACGGAUUUGCAUUCAUCCGUCCCAUGUGGGAUUUUCUAAUUUUUCUUUUUGCAUAAAAAGAAAAUAAUAUCUUUAUGACGGCACAGAAAAAAAUGCACUGAUUCAAUUACAAAUAUUUAUUUUAGCUGUGUUUUUAGGGCUUAGUGUAGUAUUUUGUAGCAAGAACCUUUUUUUAAAAAAAAAACAAAAAAAAAAAAUAUUAAAAAGAACAUACUAUUAAAUAUAAAUGUAUGUGUCCUGGUGCUUUUGUUCCUAUAAAGCAAAACAUUACAUAAAACUUUAGACAACGAUGCGUUAACAUUAACUGAAUCCUGUUAAAAUACACAAAACAUUUGCCCUGCUGUCACUGCCACAAUAUGUGUAAGG